GGGGGGAGGAUCCUGGGCUGUGUCCCGGCGCCCUGUGCUCCGGAGCCUGCGCUGGUGGAUUCGCGCUCCCGCCCCGCAGCCCCCU
rnacentral:pre_miRNA from 1 species